rnacentral:rRNA from 1 species
UGCGUAGGUGGCGCGCUAAGUCAGGUGUGAAAUUUCGGAGCUUAACUCCGAAACUGCAUUUGAUACUGGCGUGCUUGAGGACUGGAGAGGAGACUGGAAUUCAUGGUGUAGCAGUGAAAUGCGUAGAGAUCAUGAGGAAGACCAGUGGCGAAGGCGGGCCUCUGGACAGUUCCUGACACUGAGACACGAAGGCCAGGGGAGCAAACG